rnacentral:lncRNA from 10 species
UGCAUCAGUCUCACCGGGGCUCCUCUACUGGCUUAAUGGUUGUCAUUACAAGGAUUCCAUCUGCCGACUCACAGCUGAAAGGUGGGCCAACAGGAGGGCCCAGCUGAGCACUUAAUAGGUGCAUAAUACACGUUUCAGAAAUUAAAAGUGGCAGAGCCACUUCUGCAAGCAAUGACGCUGGUGCCACCUGGUGUGAGGAUGAAGCCCCUUCAGGCAGAGGAAGGUUGAAGAAUGGAAUUUCUCUUUACCAGUGGAGGCUGGUCCCCAGCACACUCAUCUGUUUGGGAAAGGUGUCCCAAACCUUUCUCAAUCCAUCAUCUGUUUGGGAAAGGUGUCCCAAACCUUUCUCAAUCCAUCUCUCUCUCUCUCUCUCUCUCUCUCUCCCCCGCCUCCCCCUGCCCCUUCCUUGCUUCCCCACCCAACUCCCACCCUACUAGGCUUGUACCUGAGUUUCACAGUCCUUGCAGAGAGAAUUCGUGGCAGCCUCCCUGUGAGAUUCUCCUGGUGAGACUCAGCAGACUUUCUAGGGGAGAAGAGCUGUGAUUUUCCUCCAAGUAAUUUUGACUAUCAGGUCCUCACUGCAGCUUGUUCUGAAAAAGAAUAGAGAACAGGCAGCUCUCUGUAGCUGCUAUAAUUGCAGAGCCAAAUGAGAGAAGACAGAGGGAAGGAGGGUGUGAGCAAAAGAAGCGAGAAUCAUGGGACUUAUGCAAACCCCAUCCAUGCUCAGGAGGGAGCUUCCCUAGAGGAACAGCGGGGACAGCCACUGCGACGACGGUAAUGCUUGAGUCUAGUUGGUGAUAUAUGCCACACAGUACUUGCACACUUUUCUGAUUUUCCUUUUUUUGUUACUUUUUAUUUUUAUUUUGAGACAGGGUCUUACUCUGUCACCCAGGCUGGAGUACAGGCUACAGUGCAGUGGUGCGAUCUCAGCUCACUACAGCCUCAACCUCCCAGGGUCAGGUGAUUCUCCCACCUCAGCUGACCAGGUGGCUGGGACUAUAUGCCACCACUCCCAGCCAAUUUUUUGUAUUUUUUGUAGAGACAGAGUUUCGCCAUGUUGCCCAGGCUGGUCUCGAACUCCUGGGCUCAGUUAAUCUGCCUCAGCCUCCCAAAGCGCUGUGAUGGCAGGCAUGAGCCACCACACCCAGCCCUGAUUUUCCUAAAGCUUUGUGGCUUGAUAUAUCAGUUGAAUUAUGUUGGUCUAAAAAUGAGAUGUAGUCAAACUCAUGGUUUAAAAAAAAAGUCCUGUUUAAAACCAGAUUAUUUGGCCAGGCG